CCAGCCGAGGCGGUGAGCAGGGCUCCCGUGCCUCCCGGAGCCCCCAUCCAUCCCACCCACCCCAUCCAGGGCCGGCGGUGCUUCGGAGCCUUCCUGGAAGAAGUCGAUUUGUUCCCGUACCUGAAGCAGGUGAUGUUUAUGCAGAGACAUCUGAAUGACAGCAGGAGUGAAGGACAAAUCUAAUAAAGCCUAAUAAACCGUGAGAGUCUAAAUGUCAUUAAACUUACAAAGAUGAGACUCCAAAUCACCAAAAAGAGAGAUGACUUCUGAGGAAAAGAGGAGAGCAGUAUGGAUGAGAGGACGAGUGGAUUUCUGAGGGAAACAUCUCACAGUGCUCUUUGGUGGACCAAGAAGUGGACCUUCCAGUGGGUGUCCUGGGGAGCUGAGGAGCAGUGUCUCCUGUUACGAAGGGAAACUGCUCGUUUAGAAGCCCUCUAUGGAGUGGGAAUCGAACCGAGGAUGCGACACUUUGUGUUGAUCCAGAGGUCUGUCCAUGCUCUCAGAGCUCUGGCACUCAGUCAGGCCCAGGCAGCGGCUAGGCAGCCCCUGUCCUCUGCUCCAACACCUGGCCAAAGUCUCUACGGUUUCCCCGUGU